CAGGAAUUUUACGCGCAGCUGAACAAGGAUGCCAGAGGAGCUUGCAAACUGCAGUGUGUGUUGCUGUACCACGACCAAUAAGAUACUCAUGGUGGUCUUCAUGAUAUCACUGAUACUUGCUAUACUCUUCGGAAACCUCCUGACGUUAGCAGUGGUCGUUGGAACUAAACAUUUCCACACUCCACAGGGUUAUUUAAAAGCCUCACUGGCCGUGGCAGACCUGGCUGUGGGAAUUUUUGUGGUGCCCGUCUCCGUUUACGCAGAAGUAUCUCUCAUAAUCUACAAUUCAAUGCCAGAGUGGACAGCGCGCAAUUCCCAAACCACACCUCUCCACCCGUGCAAUUUUAUCGGACCUGUGUUUGCGGGAUGCACUUUAGUUUCCAUUACAACAAUUUUCCUUCUGACCAUUGAAAGGAGCAUUGCCGUUUUGAGGCCACUGCACAAGGAAUCAGUCAUAACUAAAAAAAGAACAAGCAUACUAAUAGUCUUUUCCUGGAUGGGCAGUUUUUUCCUGGCAGUAUCUCCAUUGGUUUUCAGCGAUGAAAUCGCGCUGGAGUACAAUCCUUGCAGCCGCAUGUGCAAUUACGCGUUUGGAAGCGCAGACUUCCCUUCCCAAGCUUGGAACAUUCUCUUACUCUUCCCUGCCUUUGACUUUACGCUGCUCGUAGGUACUAUUGUCAUCAAUGUCAUAUCCCUCACCACGAUCCGCCAGCAUUCAAAAAGAAGAAAACAUCUCGCAGAGACCGAGAGUCAAAGCUCAACGAAACCAACCUUCUCCGACAUCAAGGCUGCCAAGACAAUAGGCACUCUGACGUUGGCUUUCACCGCUUCUUUCACUCCCAUCGCCGUGUUUGUAGUUGGAAAUGUGCUGGGAAACGAAUGGUGCAAUUUUGCGUUUUUUGCCUUUUGGAUUUUGACCUCAAACAGCUGCUGUAAUGUUAUUAUAUAUGGCGUGAGAGACCAGAAGUUUAGAAGUCGCGCGUAUCAGCUGCUCAUAUCCGCUCAAUUGAACACUGCGCCUAAAAAGACUGAGUAUGAAAACACUGUAAAUGGAGGGAAAGACAAUGAGGAAAUAGUCAAGCAAACCUAAUUAAUGAUAUUACUGAGCAGUAGCGCGAUUCAGGUGGUGCUUACUAUAUUUAUUACAGACCCCUUAAGCUAGUAUCUGGUUUCUAGCUGGGCAUUAGAUGGAUCAAGCUGGUUAAAAUGGCUUAUAGCUGGUUUGUUGCUGCUCCGAG
ensembl:lncRNA beta-2 adrenergic receptor-like